UAGAGUCAAGAGUAGAGAACUAUGAC
rnacentral:misc_RNA from 1 species